CAAUGGACGUUAACCCGCAGUAGUAGCACCGGGCUACUCCGUGCCAGCAGCGCAGUAAUACCGGAGGGUGCUAGCGUUAUCGGAAGUACUGGGCGUAAGCGCACGCCGGCGGUCUGUCAAGUCGGAUGUGACAUCUCCUGGCUCAACCUGGGAACUGCAUUCGAAACUGGCAGGCCGGAGUCUUGUAGAGGGGGGUAGAAUUCCAGGUGUAGCGGUGAACGCGUAGAGAUCUGGAGGAAUACCGGUGGCGAAGGCGGCCCCCUGGACAAAGACUGACGCUCAGGUGCGAAGCGUGGCGAGCAAACAGGAUUAGAUACCCUGGUAGUCCACGCUGUAAACGAUGUCGACUUGGAGGUUGUUCCCUUGAGGAGUGGCUUCCGGAGCUAACGCGUUAAGUCGACCGCCUGGGGAGUACGGCCGCAAGGUUAAAACUCAAAUGAAUUGACGGGGGCCCGCACAAGCGGUGGAGCAUGUGGUUUAAUUCGAUGCAACGCGAAGAACCUUACCUACUCUUGACAUCCAGAGAACUUAGCAGAGAUGCUUUGGUGCCUUCGGGAACUUUGAGACAGGUGCUGCAUGGCUGUCGUCAGCUCGUGUUGUGAAAUGUUGGGUUAAGUCCCGCAACGAGCGCAACCCUUAUCCUUUGUUGCCAGCGGUUCGGUCGGGAACUCAAAGGAGACUGCCAGUGAUAAACUGGAGGAAGGUGGGGAUGACGUCAAGUCAUCAUGGCCCUUACGAGUAGGGCUACACACUUGCUACAAUGGCAUAUACAAAGAGAAGCGACCUCGCGAGAGCCAGCGGACCUCAUAAAGUAUGUCGUAGUCCGGAUUGGAGUCUGCAACUCGACUCCAUGAAGUCGGAAUCGCUAGUAAUCGUGGAUCAGAAUGCCACGGUGAAUACGUUCCCGGGCCUUGUACACACCGCCCGUCACACCAUGGGAGUGGGUUGCAAAAGAAGGAGGUAGCUUAACCUUCGGGAGGGCGCCUUACCCCACCUUCUA
rnacentral:rRNA from 1 species